ensembl:misc_RNA 7SK 7SK RNA
GGGUGUCCAGACAAUGUAACUAUGAGAUCUGUCUCGCCAUUGAUCUGGGUAUUGAUUUAGCUGAUCUGGUUGACUACAUUAGUGUCACUUUCCUUCCUCCUGGUAGUGCUGUGUGUAUCCCUCCAGAAGCAUGCUCUUGAUAGAAAAAGACAACCUCCCCCAACAGAGAAAGACCAUUUUUAGGUUAAGGGCACACAAAUGAGCCACUGCUGUGACUAGAGCUUGCAAACAAACUGUCGGGGGUAUCAGCUAUACUGAACUAGGUCUCAGCCUGGCAGCUUCAGAUCCAAGUACAGUCGUGUUCUGAAGUUAGAGGGUGGGACUCUGU